UGGUAGCCUAAUCCGAUGAGGUUAAUAACUCAAUCUAUCCAGUGGGUAAGAGAUCAGAUGCUCCGACUCCUGUGCAGCUUAAGGUACAACACGUCAUGCAGUUCCAUACAUGGCCAUUAUUGGAAGUUAAAAGAGCAUCCUAGGGGUUUACCCCACCUGCUUACAUGCAAACCAAAUGCGACAUUCGAUUCCUAAGCAUAUGAAUUCAAACCAACUCCGUGACAUCAAACCAUCCGAGUUGUAACCAAAA